rnacentral:rRNA from 1 species
UGAGGAAUAUUGGUCAAUGGGCGAGAGCCUGAUCCAGCCAUGCCGCGUGAGUGAUGAAGGCCUUAGGGUUGUAAAGCUCUUUUGCCAGGGAAGAUGAUGACUGUACCUGGAGAAUAAGCCCCGGCUAACUUCGUGCCAGCAGCCGCGGUAAUACGAAGGGGGCUAGCGUUGUUCGGAAUUACUGGGCGUAAAGCGCACGUAGGCGGGUAUUUAAGUCAGGGGUGAAAUCCCGGAGCUCAACUCCGGAACUGCCUUUGAUACUGGGUACCUAGAGUAUGGAAGAAGUGAGUGGAAUUCCGAGUGUAGAGGUGAAAUUCGUAGAUAUUCGGAGGAACACCAGUGGCGAAGGCGGCUCACUGGUCCAUUACUGACGCUGAGGUGCGAAAGCGUGGGGAGCAAACA